UACGAAGGGGGCUAGCGUUGCUCGGAAUCACUGGGCGUAAAGCGCACGUAGGCGGACUCUUAAGUCGGUGGUGAAAUCCUGGAGCUCAACUCCAGAACUGCCUUCGAUACUGGGAGUCUCGAGUUCGGAAGAGGUGAGUGGAACUGCGAGUGUAGAGGUGAAAUUCGUAGAUAUUCGCAAGAACACCAGUGGCGAAGGCGGCUCACUGGCCCGGUACUGACGCUGAGGUGGCGAAAGCGUGGGGAG
rnacentral:rRNA from 1 species